CCUACGGGUGUCAGCAGUGAGGAAUAUUGGUCAAUGGGCGGGAGCCUGAACCAGCCAAGUCGCGGGAGGGGAUACGUUCCUAUGGAUUGUAAACCUCUGUAGGCGGGGAGCAAUGCCGGGCACGCGUGCCCGGAGGGGGAGUAACCGCAGCAUAAGCAUCGGCUAACUCCGUGCCAGCAGCCGCGGUAAUACGGAGGAUGCGAGCGUUAUCCGGUUUGAUUGGGUUUAAGGGGUGCGUAGGCGGAUUUUUAAGUCAGCGGUAAAAUGUCCGGGCUCUACCCGGGCCGGCCGUUGAAACUGGGGAUCUUGAGUGGGCGAGAGGUAUGCGGAAUGCGUGGAGUAGCGGUGAAAUGCAUAGAUAUCACGCAGAACUCCGAUUGCGAAGGCAGCAUACCGGCGCCCGACUGACGCUGAGGCACGAAAGCGUGGGGAUCGAACAGGAUUAGAUACCCUUGUAGUC
rnacentral:rRNA from 1 species